rnacentral:SRP_RNA from 1 species
GGUUGAGUCCUGUGCGAUAUUUAAGCGUGAACCCUGUCAGGUCCGGAAGGAAGCAGCAGUAAGCGCUGAUAAUAUGUGCUGCGGGGGUGCUCAGCCCGA